CUGACGUCAGCUUUCGGCUCUGGGAGGAGGCUCUGUGGUGUUUAUUUAAUGAGUGAAAUGGGAGUUAAGCUGUACUUGCAUGUUUCCAGAUCGUCCUGAAACUCAAGGGGCUCAAAUCAGGAGAGAAUUUGUUUCCAGAAGUGGGUGAGCAAACUGAAGUUCAUUGAAGAUGUCCAGCACUGUAGAGACUGCAGCUAAUCGGGUGAUGAGCGGAGGAGAGGUAGCACCUUCAGCUAAUGAGAAACCGACGGACUCUUCUGACCUGAGCAAGUUCCCCAAGAUGCAUCCCAGAGUACUUGGGGCUAUUGAAAUGGCGAUUGGGAUCAUCAUGGUCUUGGUAGCAGUUGUGAUGAUGGCUUUCGGAAUAGAGAUUGAGCUUGUGUUAAAAGCAUACUGGGGAAUUAUCAUUGUGGGCGUAGAGGCCUAUCCUGCAGCUGCAUAAUGGGAGGAUGCCUGCGCGUGACAGCUCUUUACAUGGAGUGGCUGAUGAGCCUGUAGCCACCAAACAGUCCUUGGCAGGGGGUGGCCAGAGUCAAUGACAUGGAGAACGAAGCCAACUGGGGACCACCCUCUGUUGUAGCCUUCACCGCUGUGACCUGGAGACAUCUUCCAUCAGUUCUGCCAUUGAGGUCUUUGUUGGAUUGCGGUUCAUCAGGAACCUCCCCUUUGACCUGUCUGCCUUGGGUGACCCUAGCAGGAGCCAAGCUCCGGGCGGCAUAGCUAUUGGGAUCUUGGGAUCAUUGGUUUCUCCACCAUGGCAAGUAUAUAGCUGCUGGUGCUCUGACUGUUGCUACUGCUAAGAAACUGAAAAGGAGCAUGGUGUAUGGUACAUUAUGGAUGCAUAUCGUCGCUGCUCUUGCUGCUUGUGCGGGCAGUGUUUUACAUUUGUACGGUGCCUUCGUAUUUCUCUUCCCCCCUUGCCAUACAUACAAUUAUAUUAGAGUGUGCCAUCAUCUGAGUCGACUUCAAUUUUCCAUGGUAUUCUUCUCUAUUCUGGAGUUUAUCGUGUCCAUCUGUGUUGCUUCGUUUUCCACAGCAACUCUCUGCUGUUCUAGAGAGAAUACUGUGAUUUAGGAUGGUGUACCCUCAACGGCAAGCAAAAUACUUAAGAACUUUUUCAAAAAGAAAAUUAAUUCUUAAGUGGGGCCAUAUCCUGCUGUGAGCGCAUGUUGUAAUUCAUAUACUGCUUAUCUAUUCUGUCCACUCGGCACGUUUUACACCCCAAUCCAUCCUGAAACAGCGAUCCUUCCUCCGAAGCUUUUCUUGUGGCUUCUCUCCCCCCCCGAUAAGAUUUUUCUGUGGUGUUUUUCCUCAUGUGACUCAAGGGUUUCAGAAGGGGAUUCUGUACAUUUAUUUUCCUGUGCUCAAUUUACCUGUUCUGGAGAAUGCAAGCAGAAUGUAAAUCCCUGUAGGACUUAUGACUUAUUAUCAGAAUGAAAUAAAAGUUGUU